rnacentral:lncRNA from 10 species
UUUCAUUUUAAGUAAAAAGACAUAUCUCUCAAACUAUCUGGAGGGGUUGGCAUUUAUUUUGCUAUUAUAGCCCAGGAAGGGGAAAUACCUUGUUAUUAUAGCCCAGGAAGGGGAAAGCUGCCUCAGGAAAACAGAAGAAAUGAUUUUGGUUAUGGUAGGUGCACAGAACAUAGCAGCUAUUGUUAUCCUGCCAAUAAAUUGUAAUAAUACAUUUAGCUGAUGGCUUAUUCUAAUUACAGGUACUUUGUUAUAGCUGCACUUUCCAUUUUGAGUAAAGAUGGGGAAGAAUUUCCUAGCUCAAGUGCAGAGUGGCAGGCCUUUAGCUGACCACGUUUUAUGCAAUAGCAAGAGACAGGGACAUAUGGCAGAUAUAACAAUUUAAAUAAAAAUUUUCACUGUUAAAUCUAUUAUACAUAUCUUUUUCAGUUUCUUUAAAAACUCAAUAUUGUGUUUAUGGGAUUUAUCUAUAUUUUAUAUGGUGAUCUGGUUCAUUUUAUAAAUUACAUUAUAUAUACAUAUGUAUAUAUAUUUUUUGAGAUAGAUUCUUGCUCUGUUGCCCAGGCUGGAGUUCAGUGGCGGGCCAAUUGUGGAAUAUCUUCAAUUUUUUAUGUAGACAACAAUAUCACCAGCUAAUAUUGAACAUAUUGUUUCACUUUUUCAGUUCUUAUCACUCUCUUAUUUUUUUCUGUUUCUGUAUUUUUGUCCUGAAUAGAAGCAGUAAUAGUUUCUUUACUAUGUUCCUAACUUUAAAGGUAACGCUUUUGAUUUUCACGUUUAGUAUGACAUCUGCUUUAGGUUGUUGACAGGUACUUAUAUCAGAUUAAGAAAAUGUCUUUUUAUUGCAAAUUUAUUAAAUUUUUUUUCUUGCUUGCUUUUUUCCUUCUUUCUCUUUUUAUCUUUCUCUCUCUCUCUUUUUCUCUCUUCUCCCUCUCUUUUGCUUCCUUACUUUCUUUGGUUAAAAAGUAACAGAUAUUAGGUGUUAUGAAAAGUUUGUGUACCUAUGUUCAUAGCUAUGUCUAUUAUACAUUUUUUCUCAUACUAUACUGCCCUUAUGCACUUUUAAUAUCAAAGUUUUUCUAGCUUCAUAAAAAGGAUAUGGAGAGCAUCUCCCUUUUAUAGUUUCUAUAACUGUUGUGUAAAAUAAGUUAUUUGUUCUUUGAGGGCUUGGUAUACUCUAUGAAUCUGUUCCUUGUUUUGUAGUUAGAUUAUUGACAAUGAUCUAUCUACGAAAUUUUAAAAUGUGUAUUAGUAUUUUUUAGCUUAAUAUUUCUCUUGGAGUCAAGUUUAGUAAUUUAUAUUUGACUCAGGAUAUUUAACAUGCAAAUAAUAUUGCACCCCAUCAGAAACUGAUUUGAGCAAUACAGGUAGUUAGUAUGUCAGAUAUUAAGAAGUCUAGAGUGGGGAAUUCUGCAAAGUUGGAUGAUUGAGAGACUCAACAGUGUCAUCAAGGACGUAAGUUCUUUAAAUAUUUUUAUGGUGCAAAACUGACAACGAUCAUGAUGGUCAGUUGAGUCCAGAUUUCUUAAAUAAAUGAUAUUCAUCACUUGCCUUUUAUUCUAACUUCCUGUCCCCACAAUCUUCAGCACAAAGCUUAACAGUUUGUGCUGAUUUGGGUUGGAAAAUUUUAAAACUCAGAAAAGUGCAUGGCUCUCUGGGUGCAGAUCCAAUCAGCAGACAGUGACACCCUCCUCUUGUUUUCAUUACUAUUUCUUUUCCUUAUUUUUAUUUUUUCUUUUUGUCAUCUUCAAGCAUAGGCUAUUGCUGCUUUCUUUAUCAGUAAGUUUUGAGUGUAUCAGUUAGUUAGAAGCCUUGUUUAUGUGGGGAACUCUGCAGCUGUGGCAUUCCAGGGACAAGCCUUAGCGGGAAAGUGAACGAACAAAUGACUGAGCCACCUAAGGUUGGGGUUGAGAGAAAAAUGACAGUUGUGAUCAAAGGAAUUGACUCAGGUUGCAACUUGUGCGCCCCUGGAAAUCUGGUGUGAACCCCUCUGAAAUGUAGAAUGAGUAGAUGAACGAAUAUUCAGUCUUGUUCAGAAGCUGAGCAUUCAGAUUAACACAUCUGUCCUCGCUUCCUCAUUUAUGAAUCGAAACGUUGUCAAUGUGCCCACAAAGAAACAUGUCUGGACCAAGGAUUUAUACAGAUCUUUGAGGCUUUUGCAAAAAUGAAAACUAUGAACAUUCCCUCCUACCUUUACCUGUCCAAGAACAAGCUGGAUACACACGUAGCAGUGAGUAUUGUGGUUGCAGAGCAGCUUGUUGGGUUUUGUUUGUUUGUUUUCUUUUCAGUCUCCUACGAGGGGAAAAGGGCAGUAUGUUUACAAACAAAAAACAGUGCUCCUGAAAACACAUCACCUAGAACUGAGCCCCAGUGUAGAGCCUAGUGAAGAAAACAGAGCUACAUCACUGCCCUGAGCACCUUACCAUGUAGGGCCCCAUGGGGCAGAGUGGCAUAGAUAGGUGGCUCCAGAUGACUCCAGCAAGAAUGCUUCCUUAGAGUCCUUAGAGAGCAGGCUUCUAGGGAACAAAGGCAGGAUUUCUGAAAAGAGAAAAACAGGCCUAUAAUCCCAGCACUUUGGGAGGCCGAGGCAGGUGGAUCACUUCAGGUCAGGAGUUCAAGACCAGCCUGGCCAACAUGGUGAAACCCCUUCUCUACUAAAAAUACAAAAAAUUAGCUGGACGUGGUGGCACGUGCCUAGUGUCUCAGCUACUUGGGAGGCUGAGGCAGGAGAAUCACUUGAACCCAGGAGGCAGAGGUUGCAGUGAGCUGAGAUGGUGCCACUGCACUCCAGCCUGUGUAACAGAGCGAGACUCCAUCUCAAACAAAACAAAACAACAACAAAAAACAGUGCUCAAAGGUAAGGCCCUUUGCAAGAUCUCCUUCCUUGUAUAAAGGCUAUGGCUUGAUUCUGGUCCUCAAUUUGUACCUGUGCAUUGGAAUGCUGGGAGUAUCCACUUGUGUCUCCUGUCCCUCUCUUUGGGGGAACUGUGACCGGAACACUUUAAUAAUAAUGUUUACGUGCUAGUGCAGUGUCAGGAUGCAUGCAUUACCUCAUUUAAUCUUUAGAACAACUCUGUAAGUUUAUGAAGUCAUGUUUACAGA